rnacentral:rRNA from 1 species
GACGAACCGGUGCGAACGUUGUUCGGAAUCACUGGGCUUAAAGGGGCGCGAUAGGCGGCCGGGUUGGUCGUGGGGUGAAAUCCCCCAGCUUAACUGGGGAACUCGCCUAACGAGUACUGCCGGGCUAGAGUCCGGAAGAGGCGAGUGGAACUCCGUGGUGUAGGCGGUGGAAUGCGCAGAUAUCAGGAAGAACACCAACGGCGAAGGCAGCUCGCUGGGACGGUACUGACCGCUGAGGCGCGAAAGCGUGGGGAGCGAACAGGA